CAAGGUUGACCUCGGAUCAGGUAGGACUACCCGCUGAACUUAAGCAUAUCAAUAAGCGGAGGAAAAGAAACCAACAGGGAUUGCCCCAGUAACGGCGAGUGAAGCGGCAACAGCUCAAAUUUGAAAUCUGGCCUUCGGGUCCGAGUUGUAAUUUGGAGAGGAUGCUUCUGGCGCGGCGCCGUCCGAGUUCCUUGGAACAGGACGCCAUAGAGGGUGAGAGCCCCGUACGGGCGGACGCCUAGCCUCUGUGAAGCUCCUUCGACGAGUCGAGUAGUUUGGGAAUGCUGCUCAAAAUGGGAGGUAAAUUUCUUCUAAAGCUAAAUACCGGCCAGAGACCGAUAGCGCACAAGUAGAGUGAUCGAAAGAUGAAAAGCACUUUGAAAAGAGGGUUAAAAAGUACGUGAAAUUGUUGAAAGGGAAGCGCCUGUGACCAGACUUGCUGCCCGCGGAUCAUCCGGCGUUCUUCGCCGGUGCACUCCGCGGGCGGCAGGCCAGCAUCGGUUUUCCUGGGGGGUCAAAGGUCGCGGGAACGUGGCUCCUUCGGGAGUGUUAUAGCCCGCGGCGUCAUGCCUCUGGGGGGACCGAGGAC
rnacentral:rRNA from 1 species